rnacentral:rRNA from 1 species
GACGAACGCUGGCGGCGUGCUUAACACAUGCAAGUCGAACGGAAAGGCCCUGCUUGCAGGGUGCUCGAGUGGCGAACGGGUGAGUAACACGUGGGUGAUCUGCCCCUUACUUUGGGAUAAGCCUGGGAAACUGGGUCUAAUACUGGAUAGGACCAUGCUGUAGGUGGUGUGGUGGAAAGAUUAGUUUCGGUAAGGGAUGAGCUCGCGGCCUAUCCGCUUGUUGGUGGGGUAAUGGCCUACCAAGGCGUCGACGGGUAGCCGGCCUGAGAGGGUGGACGGCCACAUGGGGACUGAGAUACGGCCCAGACUCCUACGGGAGGCAGCAGUGGGGAAUAUUGCACAAUGGGCGCAAGCCUGAUGCAGCGACGCCGCGUGGGGGAUGACGGCCUUCGGGUUGUAAACUCCUUUCAGCCAUGACGAAGCCCUUGUGAUGACGGUAGUGGUAGAAGAAGCACCGGCUAACUACGUG